rnacentral:lncRNA from 1 species
AAGAUGUGCCUGCUUCACCUACUGGCGUGAAUGUAAACUUUCUGAGACCUUCCCAGCCAUGUGGAACUGUAGUUGGGAGCCAGGGAAGGAGUGACACUAUCCCUAGAUGUAGUGAUAUGGUUUUCCUGGGAGGGCUUGACUUAAUCAGGUGAGCCCUUUAAAUGGAUUGGGACCCUCAUGGAGGUCAGAUGUGUUCUCCUGCUGACCUUGAAAAUGUAAUCUGCAAUGUGAACGUGUUGAUGGAGGGGGCCAAAUGCCAAGGACCUGAGGGGGCACCGUGGGAUCUGAGAGUAGUCCGCAGCUAAUAACUAGCAAGAAAAUGAAACCCAACACUUAGCCACAAGAAACUGAAUUAUGCUAACAACUAUUUGAGCUUUGAAGAGGAUCCUGAGCACCAGAAAGUAAUGUCGCAUAGCAACCACGUUGAUUGCAUCCUUGCAAGACCUCGUGAUGACCACUCAAUUAAUUCAUGCCCAGAUUCAUGCCCAUUGAAACUGUGAUAAUACAUGUAUGUUGUUUUACAUUA